rnacentral:rRNA from 1 species
UACGGGGGGGGCAAGCGUUGUUCGGAAUUACUGGGCGUAAAGGGCUCGUAGGUGGCCAACUAAGUCAGACGUGAAAUCCCUCAGCUUAACUGGGGAACUGUGUCUGAUACUGGAUGGCUUGAGUUUGGGAGAGGGAUGCGGAAUUCCAGGUGCAGCGGUGAAAUGCGUAGAUAUCUGGAGGAACACCGGUGGCGAAGGCGGCAUCCUGGACCAACACUGACACUGAGGAGCGAAAGCCAGGGGAGCAAACGGG